UUAGUACGGCGAGUGAGCGGCAAAAGCUCAAAUUUGAAAUCUGGCACCUUCGGUGUCCGAGUUGUAAUUUGAAGAAGGUAACUUUGGAGUUGGCUCUUGUCUAUGUUCCUUGGAACAGGACGUCACAGAGGGUGAGAAUCCCGUGCGAUGAGAUGCCCAAUUCUAUGUAAAGUGCUUUCGAAGAGUCGAGUUGUUUGGGAAUGCAGCUCUAAGUGGGUGGUAAAUUCCAUCUAAAGCUAAAUAUUGGCGAGAGACCGAUAGCGAACAAGUACAGUGAUGGAAAGAUGAAAAGAACUUUGAAAAGAGAGUGAAAAAGUACGUGAAAUUGUUGAAAGGGAAGGGCUUGAGAUCAGACUUGGUAUUUUGCGAUCCUUUCCUUCUUGGUUGGGUUCCUCGCAGCUUACUGGGCCAGCAUCGGUUUGGAUGGUAGGAUAAUGACUAAGGAAUGUGGCUCUACUUCGGUGGAGUGUUAUAGCCUUGGUUGAUACUGCCUGUCUAGACCGAGGACUGCGUCUUUUGACUAGGAUGUUGGCAUAAUGAUCUUAAGCCACAAAAACAUGAAAAACGG
rnacentral:rRNA from 1 species